UACGUAGGGGGCAAGCGUUGUCCGGAAUCAUUGGGCGUAAAGCGCACGUAGGCGGCCCUGUAAGUCCGUUGUGAAAGUCAAAGGCUCAACCUUUGAAAGCCGGUGGAUACUGUGGGGCUAGAGUCCGGAAGAGGCGAGUGGAAUUCCUGGUGUAGCGGUGGAAUGCGCAGAUAUCAGGAGGAACACCAAUAGCGAAGGCAGCUCGCUGGGACGGUACUGACGCUAAGGCGCGAAAGCGUGGGGAGCGAACAGG
rnacentral:rRNA from 1 species